UACAGAGGGUGCGAGCGUUAAUCGGAAUUACUGGGCAUAAAGCGUGCGUAGACGGUUAUGUAAGUUAGGUGUGAAAGCCCCCGGGCUCAACCUGGGAAUUGCAUUUAAGACUGCAUAGCUAGGGUGCGGAAGAGGGAAGCGGAAUUUCCGGUGUAGCGGUGAAAUGCGUAGAUAUCGGAAGGAACAUCAGUGGCGAAAGCGGCUUCCUGGUCCAGCACCGACGUCAGGCACGAAAGCGUGGGGAGCAAACAGG
rnacentral:rRNA from 1 species